rfam:Salmo salar isolate Sally breed double haploid chromosome ssa15, whole genome shotgun sequence.
AAUGCCCCAAUUUGUAAGUCGCUCUGGAUAAGAGCGUCUGCUAAAUGACUUAAA